rnacentral:rRNA from 1 species
UACGGAAGGCAGCAGUGGGGAAUAUUGCACAAUGGGCGCAAGCCUGAUGCAGCCAUGCCGCGUGUAUGAAGAAGGCCUUCGGGUUGUAAAGUACUUUCAGCGGGGAGGAAGGCGAUGCGGUUAAUAACCGCGUCGAUUGACGUUACCCGCAGAAGAAGCACCGGCUAACUCCGUGCCAGCAGCCGCGGUAAUACGGAGGGUGCAAGCGUUAAUCGGAAUUACUGGGCGUAAAGCGCACGCAGGCGGUCUGUUAAGUCAGAAUGUGAAAUCCCCGGGCUUAACCUGGGAACUGCAUUUUGAAACUGGCAGGCUUGAGUCUUGUAGAGGGGGUAGAAUUCCAGGUGUAGCGGUGAAAUGCGUAGAGAUCGUGGGGAAUACCGGUGGCGAAGGCGGCCCCUGGGACAAAGCUGACGCUCAGGUGCGAAAGCGUGGGGAGCAAACGAGGAUUAGAUACC